GAAAGAGCAGAGAAGGAAUAGAACAACUUUGAGCGGUGGAUCACUCGGCUCGUGCGUCGAUGAAGAGCGCAGCCA
rnacentral:rRNA from 1 species